rnacentral:rRNA from 1 species
UACGGGGGGUGCGAGCGUUGUCCGGAAUCACUGGGCGUAAAGGGCGCGUAGGUGGCCUGGUAAGUCUGUGGUGAAAGCCCGGAGCUCAACUCCGGGUCUGCCGCGGAUACUGCGAGGCUUGAGUGCUGUAGAGGGGGGUAGAAUGCCGGGUGUAGCGGUGGAAUGCGUAGAGAUCCGGCAGAAGACCGGUGGCGAAGGCGGCCCCCUGGGCAGUAACUGACACUGAGGCGCGACAGCGUGGGGAGCAAACCGG